CGUCCUGGAUAUCAUUUUCAAGCUUAUGUCAACAUUUCUGCAGUGAAACUCUGUUUCCAUUUAUGAAGAUUUGAAAAUAUUGUUUCUUCAAUGUUUGAUUAAAUGGAUGUUCGAUGAAUAUUGGAAAUGACUUCUUAACAUUAAGUGACAAAUACUGCUGGAUGUUUGCUUCUUCUUUUUUUCUUCUUCCUUUUGUUUGAAUCUCUUUCUUCUGAGUUUGGCUAAUUAGGAAGAAUUUUAUUUUGGGUUAUAUUCUCAGGCAGUCAUUUUUUAUUUUUUUAAAGGAGAUACAUUGAUUUCAAGAAGGAUAGCACACAAAGUGUUUUGAGUAAACUCCAAAGUAAGGUUUUUAUGAGUAACAGUUUUCCAUACAAUUUUAGGUUUUUAUGAGUAACAAUUUUCUAAUAUUUCUUUAAUUAACUAUAAGUAUAUUGUUUACUCAUUUUCCUAAGGAUGAGGCUAGUUGUUGCCGUUCGGCAUGACAAGUUUAUUUAGCCGUGAAUUUUGUGUUAAAUCUGACAAGUAUGGUUAAAUUUAACUGAGAUUUUGACCUCCACCGUUAGUUUUAGUGCUAGAGAUUAAAAGUGUCCACUUUUUGUAUACAUUGAGGACUAUUUAUGUUAAGUGGUAUACAUUAAGAACCAAAACAGUGUAGAAAUAGCGUGGUAUAACCACUUUUUAAAGUGGUAUUUACUUUUUAGCCAGUAGUUUUAAUGUUGAGCAAAAAUAGUCACUACUUUAUUAAAAUUGAUACGAAAAAUCUUUUUUACCCUUUCUUCAUGAAUGAUGUGUAAAUAUUAAGGAUAUGGUGUCCUUAACUUCAUGAGUGAUAUGUAAAAUAUUAAGGACACUAUGUCCUUAACAUUUACAUUGCACACAUGAAGUUAAGGACACCAUGUCCUUAACAUUUACAAUGCACAUAUGAAGUUAAGGACAUGGUGUCCUAAAGUUUAACAACAGAAGUUGCAAAUACAAGUUAAUGAUAUUAUGUCCUUAACAUUUACAUUACACACAUGAAGUUAAGGACACAAUGUCCUUAACAUUUACACUACACAUAUGAGGUUAAGGACAUGAUGUCCUAAAGUUUAUCAGCAGAAGGCGCAAAUAUAGGACACUUUGUCCUUAAUAUUUACACAUCACUCAUGAAGUUAAGGACAUUAUGUCCUUAACAUUUACAAUGAACACAUGAAGUUAAGGACGUCACGUCCUUAAUAUUUACACAGCACAUAUGAAGUUAAGGACAUGAUGUCCUUAACAUUUACACAGCACAUAUGAAGUUAAGGACAUGAUAUCUUUAACAUUUACAUUGUAUACAUGAAGUUAAGGACACCAUGUCCUUAACAUUUACACUAUACAUAUGAAGUUAAGGACAUGAUGUCCUAAAGUUUAACAACAGAAGUUGCAAAUACAAGUUAAUGAUAUUAUGUCCUUAACAUUUACAUUGCACAAAUGAAGUUAAGGACACCAUGUCCUAAAUAUUUACACUGCACAUAUGAAGUUAACGACAUGAUGUCCUAAAGUUUAGCAGCAAAAGGUGCAAAUACAGGACACUUUGUCCUAAAUAUUUACACAACACAUAUGGCUAGCACAGGGGUAUUUUUGUCCGGCGGGUAAAAAUUUAUUAAGCACUGGCCAAAGAAUAAAUACAUUUAAAACAGUGGCUAAAAAGUGAAGACAUCUCUAAUCAGUGGCUAUCUGUGCACUUCCCCCAAAACAGUCCAACCCUUAUACAUUCAGGACCAUUCGAUCAUUUUCUCGUCCACCUCUCAUUACUAGCAAAACAUGUCUAAACGAAAACGGGAUGCGGGAAAUGGAGAAGAAGAAGAAGAAGCACCACGGCUCAGUGAAGAUGAUGAAAGGUAUAUGAAUUUCUUUUGGACCUAAAUUUUUUGGCACUUGCUACAGAGAAAUAACUAGUACUAGACAUCAUCCACCAAAUCUUGUCACAUUCAUUUGAAGCAGAUUCCGUGAUUCAAUCGCUCUUUCUUCUUCUUGAAAUCAUGAGUGUAAUAUUCUAAAAAGACAUAAAACUUUCAAGAUCUUAACAUGCGUUUUAUAUUAAUAUUAUUAUUUAUAUUGGUAAGAUAUAAUUCUUAGAGAGUAAGAUAUUAUCCACAAGUUUGGAAUACAUUACCUUAGAUCUUGUGGUAAAAAACUUUAUUUAUCAAUUCAAAGUUCCAACUCUACUAUUAAAAAACAUGCAAUCUUCCUUCUUUUUUUUUCUAAUAGUUUUACAAUGACUUUGUAUCUCUUUUUCUACAAAUUAUGAUAUUGUCUAAUUAAUAAUAAAAUCAUAAAUUUACUAUUAAAAUUUUUGAGGCCCCAAAAUAAAAGCAAAGGCUUUAUUAGCUCCCCUUUGAGCCGCCCCCCGAAUACCAAAUACAAAAGUAUACUGAGAAAGCAUAACUUUCAGCCAACCCAUAUAUCAAUUAUUCUGGUGAAUUACAAUAUACAAAAUGAGAUGAGAUCAAUCUAGCACAAGGUUGAUGUCAAAUCAAUUUAAUCAUUUCAUAUACAAAUAAAAUUUUCAAGAAAGGCUACAAAAAAGGCAAAGGGAAGAUACAACAAGAAAAGAGGGAUUCGAUUACCCAUAACACUGGUACCCCAUACAACCCGGGGGGGUAAGAAAAGCUUGAAACCAGGGGAGAAAAAUAAUUGAAACAUAAAAAAAUACAACUAAGCACACUGAAUGCCGCAGUGACUAACUGGCAACUCAGGUUUUGAGAAGGCCUUUUUCUCUUGUGGUAAAUCUGCAGAAAGAAUGAAUAAACAGAGUAGACUGCUAAUUGUUGCAGAUCUUGAUCCCCAGACUAUGCUGGUACCAUUCUUCAGUAUUGUUGCAUGACGCAGCAGACACACUCCACAUUAAAUUCUCUUCUAAUUUUAGCUACAACCUUCAAUCGGAGUUUGAAUCAUAGAAGUCACUGGGGCAAGGUGUCAUGACUUCAGAUUCAAGAAUCUGUACAACUCUGUGCAUUGUGGGCCUCUCCUCAGGAUUCGAAGAGACGCAUUGUGUGGCAACUGAAAGCAGGGCAUCC
rnacentral:lncRNA from 1 species